UACUCCUACGGGAGGCAGCAGUAGGGAAUCUUCCGCAAUGGGCGAAAGCCUGACGGAGCAACGCCGCGUGAGUGAAGAAGGAUUUCGGUUCGUAAAGCUCUGUUGUUAGGGAAGAAUGGAUAUGUAGUAACUAUACAUGUAAGAGACGGUACCUAACCAGAAAGCCACGGCUAACUACGUGCCAGCAGCCGCGGUAAUACGUAGGUGGCAAGCGUUGUCCGGAAUUAUUGGGCGUAAAGCGCGCGCAGGUGGUUUAAUAAGUCUGAUGUGAAAGCCCACGGCUCAACCGUGGAGGGUCAUUGGAAACUGUUAAACUUGAGUGCAGGAGAGAAAAGUGGAAUUCCUAGUGUAGCGGUGAAAUGCGUAGAGAUUAGGAGGAACACCAGUGGCGAAGGCGGCUUUUUGGCCUGUAACUGACACUGAGGCGCGAAAGCGUGGGGAGCAAACAGGAUUAGAUACCCUGGUAGUCCACGCCGUAAACGAUGAGUGCUAAGUGUUGGUCUCAUAAGAGAUCAGUGCUGCAGCUAACGCAUUAAGCACUCCGCCUGGGGAGUACGACCGCAAGGUUGAAACUCAAAGGAAUUGACGGA
rnacentral:rRNA from 1 species